rnacentral:rRNA from 1 species
GUUAAGCGACUAAGCGUACACGGUGGAUGCCCUGGCAGUCAGAGGCGAUGAAGGACGUGCUAAUCUGCGAAAAGCGCCGGCGAGGUGAUAUGAACCUUUGACCCGGCGAUGUCCGAAUGGGGAAACCCAGUGCAAUUCGUUGCACUAUCGUUAACUGAAUACAUAGGUUAACGAGGCGAACCGGGGGAACUGAAACAUCUAAGUACCCCGAGGAAAAGAAAUCAACCGAGAUUCCCCCAGUAGCGGCGAGCGAACGGGGAGCAGCCCAGAGUCUGAAUCAGCUUGUGUGUUAGUGGAAGCGUCUGGAAAGUCGCACGGUACAGGGUGACAGUCCCGUACACGAAAGCACACAGGCUGUGAACUCGAAGAGUAGGGCGGGACACGUGGUAUCCUGUCUGAAUAUGGGGGGACCAUCCUCCAAGGCUAAAUACUCCUGACUGACCGAUAGUGAACCAGUACCGUGAGGGAAAGGCGAAAAGAACCCCGGCGAGGGGAGUGAAAAAGAACCUGAAACCGUGUACGUACAAGCAGUGGGAGCACCUUCGUGGUGUGACUGCGUACCUUUUGUAUAAUGGGUCAGCGACUUAUAUUCUGUAGCAAGGUUAACCGUAUAGGGGAGCCGAAGGGAAACCGAGUCUUAACUGGGCGUUAAGUUGCAGGGUAUAGACCCGAAACCCGGUGAUCUAGCCAUGGGCAGGUUGAAGGUUGGGUAACACUAACUGGAGGACCGAACCGACUAAUGUUGAAAAAUUAGCGGAUGACUUGUGGCUGGGGGUGAAAGGCCAAUCAAACCGGGAGAUAGCUGGUUCUCCCCGAAAGCU